rnacentral:sRNA from 1 species
GCCCUUGUAUUAUGUGUACGGUAUCGGAAACGACCGUAAACGCUGUCGUAAGCGUUAGGAACACUAAGAUACAAGGGUUU